rnacentral:tRNA from 1 species
CAAGGCAUAGCUAUAACAUCAAAGCGCUCAGCUUACACCUGAGAGAUAUCUGCAACUACACAGAUUGCCUUGA